UCCGGUUUGUCACCGGCAGUCUCGCAUGAGUCCCCAGCUAACCUGCUGGCAACAUGCGACGGGGGUUGCGCUCGUUGCGGGACUUAACCCAACAUCUCACGACACGAGCUGACGACAGCCAUGCACCACCUGUGCACUGGCCCCGAAGGGCUGCCGUGUUUCCACGACAUUCCAGUGCAUGUCAAGCCCUGGUAAGGUUCUUCGCGUCGCGUCGAAUUAAACCACAUGCUCCGCUGCUUGUGCGGGUCCCCGUCAACUCCUUUGAGUUUCAAUCUUGCGACCGUACUCCCCAGGCGGGAUGCUUAAUGCGUUAGCUGCGGCACAGGUGAUUACUCACCCACACCUAGCAUCCAUCGUUUAGGGCGUGGACUAC
rnacentral:misc_RNA from 1 species